GAUGAAGAACGCAGCGAAAUGCGAUAAGUAAUGUGAAUUGCAGAAUUCAGUGAAUCAUCGAAUCUUUGAACGCACAUUGCGCCCCUUGGUAUCCCGAGGGGCAUGCCUGUUCGAGCGUCAUUUCACCACUCAAGCCUGGCUUGGUGUUGGGCGACGUCCUCUUUGGGGACGCGCCUCGAAACGCUCGGCGGCGUGGCACCGGCUUUAAGCGUAGCAGAAUCUUUCGCUUUGGAAGUCGGGGCCCCGUCUGCCGGAAGACCUGCUCGCAAGGUUGACCUCGGAUCAGGCAGGGAUACCCGCUGAACUUAAGCAUAUCAAAAGCGGAGGA
rnacentral:misc_RNA from 1 species